rnacentral:rRNA from 1 species
CUCGUAGGCGGUUCGUCGCGUCCGGUGUGAAAGUCCAUCGCUUAACGGUGGAUCCGCGCCGGGUACGGGCGGGCUUGAGUGCGGUAGGGGAGACUGGAAUUCCCGGUGUAACGGUGGAAUGUGUAGAUAUCGGGAAGAACACCAAUGGCGAAGGCAGGUCUCUGGGCCGUCACUGACGCUGGGGAGCGAAAGCGUGGGGAGCGAACA